rnacentral:rRNA from 1 species
AAUCUCAGUUCGGAUUGUAGGCUGCAACUCGCCUACAUGAAGUUGGAAUCGCUAGUAAUCGCGAAUCAGAAUGUCGCGGUGAAUACGUUCCCGGGUCCUUGUACACACCGCCCGUCACACCACGAGAGUUUACAACACCCGAAGUCAGUGGCCUAACCGCAAGGAGGGAGCUGCCUAAGGUGGGGUAGAUGAUUGGGGUGAAGUCGUAACAAGGUAGC